rnacentral:rRNA from 1 species
UACGUAGGGUGCAAGCGUUAAUCGGAAUUACUGGGCGUAAAGCGUGCGCAGGCGGUUUUGUAAGUCUGUCGUGAAAUCCCCGGGCUUAACCUGGGAAUGGCGAUGGAGACUGCAAGGCUAGAGUUUGGCAGAGGGGGGUAGAAUUCCACGUGUAGCAGUGAAAUGCGUAGAGAUGUGGAGGAACACCGAUGGCGAAGGCAGCCCCCCGGGUCAAAACUGACGCUCAUGCACGAAAGCGUGGGGAGCAAACAGG